AGCCUGAACGCUGGCGGCGUGGCUAAGACAUGCAAGUCGCACGGUGUAGCGUAGCAAUACGCUGCACAGUGGCGAACGGGUGAGUAAUGAAUCGCUAAUGUACCCCGGACUCUGGGAUAGCCAGUUGAAAGAUUGGGUAAUACCAGAUGAUAUAACCUUGUCGCAUGACAGGGUUCUCAAGGGUCCGCCGGUCUGGGAGCAGGCGAUUUCGUAUCAGCUAGUUGGUGAGGUAACGGCUCACCAAGGCGACGACGCGUAGCCGGACUGAGAGGUCGGUCGGCCACAUCGGGACUGAGACACUGCCCGGACUCCGUACGGGGGGCUGCAGUAACGAAUCUUCGCAAUGCACGAAAGUGUGACGGAGCGACGCCGCGUGUGGGACGAAGUUCUACGGAAUGUAAACCACUGUACGUAGGGUUAGAAAGUUCUAGACUACCAACCCCGAGGAAGGAACGGACGGACUUAACGUC
rnacentral:rRNA from 1 species